ensembl:misc_RNA Metazoa_SRP Metazoan signal recognition particle RNA
GCCAGGCACGGUGGUGCGUGCCUAUAGUCCCAACUACUUGGGAAGCUGAGGCAGGAGGAUGGCUUGAGUCCAAGAGUUCUGGGCUGUACUAUGCUAUGCCAGUUGGGGGGUCCACACUAAGUUCAGCAUCAACACGGUGACCUCCCGGGAAGGGGGACCACCAGGUUUAGUAAUGAGGGAUGAACUGGCCCAGAUUGGAAACAAGGAAGUCAAAACUCCCGUGCUGAUCAGUAAUGGGAUCAUGCCUGCGAAUAGCCACCGCACUCCAGUCUGGGCAACACAGCAAAACCCUGUCCCAA